UACGGGGGGGGGCAAGCGUUGUUCGGAAUUACUGGGCGUAAAGGGCUCGUAGGUGGCCAACUAAGUCAGACGUGAAAUCCCUCGGCUUAACCGGGGAACUGCGUCUGAUACUGGAUGGCUAGAGAUUGGGAGAGGGAUGCGGAAUUCCAGGUGUAGCGGUGAAAUGCGUAGAUAUCGGAAGGAACGCCGGUGGCGAAAGCGGCGUGCUGGACCUCUUCUGACGCUGAGGCGCGAAAGCCAGGGGAGCAAAGCGGG
rnacentral:rRNA from 1 species